GACGAACGCUGGCGGCGUGCUUAACACAUGCAGGUCGAGCGGUAAGGCCCUUUCGGGGGUACACGAGCGGCGAACGGGUGAGUAACACGUGGGUGACCUGCCCUUAGCUCUGGGAUAAGCCUGGGAAACUGGGUCUAAUACCGGAUAUGACUCCAUGACGCAUGUUGUGGGGUGGAAAGCCUUGUGCGGCUAGGGAUGGGCCCGCGGCCUAUCAGCUUGUUGGUGGGGUGAUGGCCUACCAAGGCGACGACGGGUAGCCGGCCUGAGAGGGCGACCGGCCACACUGGGACUGAGACACGGCCCAGACUCCUACGGGAGGCAGCAGUGGGGAAUCUUGCGCAAUGGGCGAAAGCCUGACGCAGCGACGCCGCGU
rnacentral:rRNA from 1 species